rnacentral:rRNA from 1 species
GACGAACGCUGGCGGCGUGCCUAAUACAUGCAAGUCGAACGCAGUGGGGACGGGUGAGUAACACGUGGGUAACCUCCCAUCAGAGGGGAUAACAUUUGGAAACAGGUGCUAAACCGACACUGCUGUAUGGACCAGCAGUGCAUUAGCUAGUUGGUGGGGUAACGGCUCACCAAGGCUACGAUGCAUAGCUGAGCUGAGAGGGGGAUCGGCCACACUGGGACUGAGACACGGCCCAGACUCAUACGGGAGGCAGCAGUAGGGAAUCUUCGGCAAUGGACGAAAGUCUGACCCAGCAACGCCGCGUGAGUGAAGAAGGUUUUCGGAUUGUAAAACUCUGUUGUUAGAGAAGCGUUAUCUAACCAAAAAGCCACGGCUAACUACGUGCCAGCAGCCGCGGUAAUAC